rnacentral:rRNA from 1 species
AGGGUUUGAUCAUGGCUCAGAUUGAACGCUGGCGGCAUGCCUUACACAUGCAAGUCGAACGGCAGCACGGGAGCAAUCCUGGUGGCGAGUGGCGAACGGGUGAGUAAUAUAUCGGAACGUGCCCAGUAGUGGGGGAUAGCCCGGCGAAAGCCGGAUUAAUACCGCAUACGACCUGAGGGUGAAAGCGGGGGAUCGCAAGACCUCGCGCUACUGGAGCGGCCGAUAUCAGAUUAGCUAGUUGGUGGGGUAAAGGCCUACCAAGGCAACGAUCUGUAGUUGGUCUGAGAGGACGACCAGCCACACUGGGACUGAGACACGGCCCAGACUCCUACGGGAGGCAGCAGUGGGGAAUUUUGGACAAUGGGCGCAAGCCUGAUCCAGCAAUGCCGCGUGCAGGAAGAAGGCCUUCGGGUUGUAAACUGCUUUUGUCAGGGAAGAAAUCUUCUGGGUUAAUACCCCGGGAGGAUGACGGUACCUGAAGAAUAAGCACCGGCUAACUACGUGCCAGCAGCCGCGGUAAUACG